rnacentral:rRNA from 1 species
GAUGAACGCUGGCGGCGUGCCUAACACAUGCAAGUCGAGCGGAAAUUGAUAGCUUGCUAUCAAUUUUAGCGGCGGACGGGUGAGUAACGCGUGGGUAACCUGCCCUAUACACAUGGAUAACAUACCGAAAGGUAUGCUAAUACAAGAUAAAACAUUGAUAAGGCAUCUUAUUAAUGUUAAAGAUUUAUCGGUAUAGGAUGGGCCCGCGUCCCAUUAGUUAGUUGGUGAGGUAACGGCUCACCAAGACUACGAUGGGUAGCCGACCUGAGAGGGUGAUCGGCCACACUGGAACUGAGACACGGUCCAGACUCCUACGGGUGGCUG